rnacentral:rRNA from 1 species
CUGAUCCAGCCAUGCCGCGUGCAGGAAGACGGCCCUAUGGCUUGUAAACUGCUUUUAUACAGGAAGAAAAAGAUGUACGCGUACAUCAUUGACGGUACUGUAAGAAUAAGGAUCGGCUAACUCCGUGCCAGCAGCCGCGGUAAUACGGAGGAUCCGAGCGUUAUCCGGAAUCAUUGGGUUUAAAGGGUCCGUAGGCGGGAUAAUAAGUCAGUGGUGAAAGUCUGCAGCUUAACUGUAGAAUUGCCAUUGAAACUAUUGUUCUUGAGUGCUUGUGAAGUGGUUAGAAUGAGUAGUGUAGCGGUGAAAUGCAUAGAUAUUACUCAGAAUACCGAUUGCGAAGGCAGAUCACUAACAAUCCACUGACGCUGAUGGACGAAAGCGUAGGUAGCGAACAGGAUUAGAUACCCUGGUAGUCUACGCCGUAAACGAUGGUUACUAGCUGUUCGCUCCGCAUUAGCGGGGUGAGUGGCCAAGCGAAAGUGAUAAGUAACCCACCUGGGGAGUACGUUCGCAAGAAUGAAACUCAAAGGAAUUGACGGGGGCCCGCACAAGCGGUGGAGCAUGUGGUUUAAUUCGAUGAUACGCGAGGAACCUUACCAGGGCUUAAAUGCAGUUUGACAGGGGUGGAAACACCUUUUCCUUCGGGCAAAUUGCAAGGUGCUGCAUGGUUGUCGUCAGCUCGUGCCGUGAGGUGUCAGGUUAAGUCCUAUAACGAGCGCAACCCCUAUGGUUAGUUACCAGCAUGUAAAGAUGGGGACUCUAGCCAUACUGCCAGUGUAAACUGAGAGGAAGGUGGGGAUGACGUCAAAUCAUCACGGCCCUUACAUCCUGGGCUACACACGUGCUACAAUGGUAGGGACAGAGAGCAGCCACUGGGUGACCAGGAGCGAAUCUACAAACCCUAUCACAGUUCGGAUCGCAGUCUGCAACUCGACUGCGUGAAGCUGGAAUCGCUAGUAAUCGCAUAUCAGCCAUGAUGCGGUGAAUACGUUCCCGGGCCUUGUACACACCGCCCGUCAAGCCAUGGAAGCUGGGGGUACCUGAAGUCGGUCGCCGC